rnacentral:rRNA from 1 species
UACGUAGGGGGCAAGCGUUGUCCGGAAUCAUUGGGCGUAAAGAGCGUGUAGGCGGCCAGAAAAGUCCGCUGUGAAAACUCGAGGCUCAACUUCGAGCUGUCGGUGGAAACUUUCUGGCUAGAGUCCGGAAGAGGAGAAUGGAAUUCCUGGUGUAGCGGUGAAAUGCGCAGAUAUCAGGAAGAACACCCGUGGCGGAAGCGGCACCCUGGCAUUAGCCUGACGCUGAGAUGCGAAAGCGUGGGGAGCAAACGGG